UUGGAGGGCAAGUCUGGUGCCAGCAGCCGCGGUAAUUCCAGCUCCAAUAGCGUAUAUUAAAGUUGUUGCAGUUAAAAAGCUCGUAGUUGAAUUUCGGGAUUGACACAUCGGUCGUGCCUUAAGGGGUAUGAACUGGUGUAGUCAAUUUCUCACCUUCUGGAGAACCGCGAUGCCCUUAAUUGGGUGUCACGGGGAACCAGGACCUUUACUUUGAAAAAAUUAGAGUGUUUAAAGCAGGCAUUUUGCUUGAAUACAUUAGCAUGGAAUAAUAAAAUAGGACGGCAUGAUUCUAUUUUGUUGGUUUCUAGGAUCACCGUAAUGAUUAAUAGGGAUAGUUGGGGGCAUUAGUAUUCAAUUGUCAGAGGUGAAAUUCUUGGAUUUAUUGAAGACUAACUACUGCGAAAGCAUUUGCCAAGGAUGUUUUCAUUAAUCAAGAACGAAAGUUAGGGGAUCGAAGAC
rnacentral:rRNA from 1 species